rnacentral:rRNA from 1 species
GAUGAACGCUAGCGGCAGGCCUAAUACAUGCAAGCCGAACGGUAAUUCUGAUAGCAAUAUUGGAACUAGAGUGGCGUAAGGGUGCGUAACACGUAUGCAAUCUACCCGCAACAGGAGGAUAGCUCCCCGAAGGGAAGUUAACCUCCAUGAGAUCACACGAGGCGAUCCGAGAGUGAUUAAAUUUGAGGAGGUUGUGGAUGAGCAUGCGACUGAUUAGCUAGUUGGCAGUGUAACGGAC